rnacentral:rRNA from 1 species
GACGUAGGGUGCGAGCGUUGUCCGGAUUUAUUGGGCGUAAAGGGCUCGUAGGUGGCCAACUAAGUCGGACGUGAAAUCCCUCGGCUUAACCGGGGAACUGCGUCUGAUACUGGAUGGCUUGAGUUCGGGAGAGGGAUGCGGAAUUCCAGGUGUAGCGGUGAAAUGCGUAGAUAUCUGGAGGAACACCGGUGGCGAAGGCGGCAUCCUGGACCGACACUGACGCUGAGGAGCGAAAGCCAGGGGAGCAAACGGG